rnacentral:rRNA from 1 species
GUUUGCUCACUCACUUGGGUGGGCGGCGUACGGCUGAGUAACACGUGGUCAAUCUACCCUAAGGACGCGUAUAACCUCGGGAAACUGAGGCUAAUUCGCGAUAGAUGCCUUAUGCUGGAAUGCUUAGGCAUUUAAAUGGCUGGUGAAUUGGAGCCAGUCCGCCUUAGGAUGAGACUGCGGCGGAUCAUGGUAGUUGGUGGGGUAAUGGCCCACCAAGCCGAUAAUCCGUAGGGGCCAUGGGAGUGGUGGCCCCCAGAAGGGUACUGAGACAAGGACCCUAGUCCUACGGGAUGCAGCAGGCGCGAAACCUCUGCAAUGCGCGCAAGCGUGACAGGGGAAGUCUGAGUGGCGGAAACUUAGUUUCCGUCUUUUGCCAAGUGCAAAAAGCUUGGAGAAUAAGGGUGUGGGCAAGACUGGUGGCAGCCGCCUCGGUAACACCAGCGCCUCGAGUGGUACCCACGAAUAUUGGGCCUAAAGUGUCCGUAGCCGGACUGUUAAGUCCGCUGUGAAAUGUUGGGGCUCAACCCUAACGCGUGCAGUGGAUACUGUCAAGUCUUGGGAACGGGGGAGGGUCGGAGUACUUCCAGGGUAGGGGUAAAAUCCGUUGAGCCUGGAAGGACUACCAGUGGCGAAGGCGCCGAUCCAAAACGUGUCCGACGGUGAGGGACGAAAGCUGGGGGAGCGAACGGGAUUAGAUACCCCGGUAGUCCCAGCUGUAAAUUAUGCAGACUGUGGUGUUACACAUGAGUAAUCAUGUGUAGUGCUGUAGCGUAGGUGUUAAGUCUGCCGCCUGGGGAGUACGAUCGCAAGAUUGAAACUUAAAGGAAUUGGCGGGGGAGCACCACAAGCCGUGGAUGCUACGGUUUAAUUGGAUACAACGCCGGAAAUAUCACCAAAAGCGACGGCAGUAUGAAGGCCAGACUAAAGAUCUUGCCUGACGAGCCGAGAGGUAUUGCAUGGCCAUCGUCAGCUCGUGGUGUGAACUGUCCUGUUAAGUCAGGCAACGAGCGAGACCCAUGCGUUUAGUUACAAACUCCUUCUCCGGAAGGGGUGUACUCUAAACGGACUGCCCGUGCUAAAUGGGAGGAAGGAGUGGGCGACGGUAGGUCAGUAUGGUCCGAAACUUUUGGGCUACACGCGGCAUACAGUGGAUGGAACAAUGGGCUGCGACUUCGAAAGGAGGAGCCAAUCCCCUAAAUCCAUCCGUGGUUCGGAUUGAGGGUUGCAACUCACCCUCAUGAAGAUGGAAUGGCUAGUAAUCGCGUGUCACUAUCGCGCGGUGAAUGUGUCCCCGCUUCUUGCACACACCGCCCGUCAAGUCACCCAAAUGUUUUUUCGGUGAGACCCCGGUUCAUGCCGGGUUCGAACCGAGAGGGCGUGAGGGGGGCUAAGUCGUAACAAAGUA